rnacentral:rRNA from 1 species
GAUGAACGCUGGCGGCGUGCCUAAUACAUGCAAGUCGAGCGAACGGACGAGAAGCUUGCUUUUCUGAUGUUAGCGGCGGACGGGUGAGUAACACGUGGAUAACCUACCUAUAAGACUGGGAUAACUUCGGGAAACCGGAGCUAAUACCGGAUAAUAUUUUGAACCGCAUGGUUCAAAAGUGAAAGACGGUCUUUCUGUCACUUAUAGAUGGAUCCGCGCUGCAUUAGCUAGUUGGUAAGGUAACGGCUUACCAAGGCAACGAUGCAUAGCCGACCUGAGAGGGUGAUCGGCCACACUGGAACUGAGACACGGUCCAGACUCCUACGGGAGGCAGCAGUAGGGAAUCUUCCGCAAUGGGCGAAAGCCUGACGGAGCAACGCCGCGUGAGUGAUGAAGGUCUUCGGAUCGUAAAACUCUGUUAUUAGGGAAGAACAUAUGUGUAAGUAACUGUGCACAUCUUGACGGUACCUGAUCAGAAAGCCACGGCUAACUACGU